rnacentral:rRNA from 1 species
UACGUAGGGUGCAAGCGUUGUCCAGAAUUAUUGGGCGUAAAGAGCUCGUAGGCGGUUUGUCGCGUCGGCUGUGAAAACUCGGGGCUCAACCCCGAGCCUGCAGUCGAUACGGGCAGACUAGAGUGCUGUAGGGGAGACUGGAAUUCCUGGUGUAGCGGUGAAAUGCGCAGAUAUCAGGAGGAACACCGGUGGCGAAGGCGGGUCUCUGGGCAGUAACUGACGCUGAGGAGCGAAAGCGUGGGGAGCAAACAGG